rnacentral:rRNA from 1 species
UACGUAGGGGGCUAGCGUUGUCCGGAAUCAUUGGGCGUAAAGCGCGCGUAGGCGGUCAGGUAAGUCCGGUGUGAAAGUCAAAGGCUCAACCUUUGAAUGCCGCUGGAAACUGCCUGACUCGAGUCCGGUAGGGGCGAGUGGAAUUCCUGGGUGUAGCGGUGAAAUGCGCAGAUAUCAGGAGGAACACCGGUGGCGAAGGCGGGUCUCUGGGCCGAUACUGACGCUGGAGGAGCGAAAGCGUGGGGAGCGAACAGG